rnacentral:sRNA from 2 species
UUAAAUUUCUUAAUUCUUCACAACAGUUAAAGUAAUCCAGUGAACAUGAAGACAAAAGUGCAGGUGCCUCAGGGGAGAUGCCCUCCCAGCCUUAUCCUGC